UCGAACGGUAACAGGCUAAUGUGAUCCCUUCGGGGUGAACUGUGCGCUGACGAGUGGCGGACGGGUGAGUAAUACAUAGGAAUCUACCCAGUAGUGGGGGAUAACUUGGAGAAAUCCAUGCUAAUACCGCAUAUGUCCUACGGGGCAAAGCAGGGGACCCUCGGGCCUUGCGCUAUUGGAUGAGCCUAUGUCGGAUUAGCUAGUUGGUAGGGUAAAAGCCUACCAAGGCGACGAUCCGUAGCUGGUCUGAGAGGAUGAUCAGCCACACUGGAACUGAGACACGGUCCAGACUCCUACGGGAGGCAGCAGUGGGGAAUAUUGCACAAUGGGCGCAAGCCUGAUGCAGCAAUGCCGCGUGCGUGAAGAAGGCCUGCGGGUUGUAAAGCACUUUUAUUGGGAAAGAAAAACCCGGAGCUAAUACCUCCGGCAUUGACGGUACCCAAAGAAUAAGCACCGGCUAACUCAGUGCCAGCAGCCGCGGUAAUACUGAGGGUGCGAGCGUUAAUCGGAAUUACUGGGCGUAAAGCGAGUGUAGGCGGCUACUUAAGUCGGAUGUGAAAUCCCCGGGCUCAACCUGGGAAUUGCAUUCGAUACUGGGUAGCUAGAGUUUGGUAGAGGUAAGUGGAAUUCCGGGUGUAGCGGUGAAAUGCGUAGAUAUCCGGAGGAACAUCAGUGGCGAAGGCGGCUUACUGGACCA
rnacentral:rRNA from 1 species